UUAUGCUAAGUGAAAGAAGACUUACCAAAAAAAAAAAAGUACAUAUUGUAUGAUGCUGUGUGUAUCAAGUUCUACACCAUACAAAUCUAACCUAUGGUGGAAAAAAAAAUCAGAACAGUGGUUGCUUCUGGGUGGGAGAGGAAGGAUUGAAUGGGAAAGGGUAUGAGAGAACUUUCUGUUUUAAUGGUAUGUUCUAUGUCUUUAUGGAUUUUGGGUUAAUUAAACAGGUCAAAACUCAGUGAAUGUUCAUUUAAGAUUUGAGUAUUUAAUUGCAUGUAAAUUUUACUUUAUAUCUUUUUUUUUUUUUUUUUUUUUGGCUGUACCACGCAGCAUGCACCAUCUUAGUUCCCGACCAGGGAUUGAACCUGUUCCCCCUGAAGUGGAAGCUCGGAAUCCUAAUCAUUGGACCGCCAGGAAAUUACCGGUGGGCUGGCAGGUUGGAAACUCGACAAGGAGCCAGUGUUGCGGUUCAAGUCCAAAGACUGCCUGAGAAUUCCACGCUGUUCCAGAGAGACCACUUCGAUAAUUUGAAAGAGCUGCAUCUCCCCUUCUAGAUAAGUGCA